rnacentral:rRNA from 1 species
UGGCUCAGGAUGAACGCUAGCGGCAGGCCUAAUACAUGCAAGUCGAACGGGUGUAGCAAUACACUAGUGGCGCACGGGUGCGUAACGCGUAACCAACCUGCCCUGAACUGGGGGAUAGCCCGCCGAAAGGCGGAUUAAUACCGCAUAAACCAACAGAAUGGCAUCAUUCAAUUGGUAAAGAUUUAUUGGUUCAGGAUGGGGUUGCGUGACAUUAGCUAGAUGGCGGGGUAACGGCUCACCAUGGCGACGAUGUCUAGGGGACCUGAGAGGGUGAUCCCCCACACUGGCACUGAGAUACGGGCCAGACUCCUACGGGAGGCAGCAGUAGGGAAUAUUGGGCAAUGGGCGAGAGCCUGACCCAGCCAUGCCGCGUGCAGGAUGAAGGCCUUCUGGGUUGUAAACUGCUUUUCUCAGGGAAGAAAAAGGGCAUGCGUGCUCAACUGACGGUAC